rnacentral:rRNA from 1 species
AAACUAUACCGUGAAAACUGCGAAUGGCUCAUUAAAUCAGUUAUCGUUUAUUUGAUAGUACCUACUUACUUGGAUAACCGUGGUAAUUCUAGAGCUAAUACAUGCUAAAAACCUCGACUUCGGAAGGGGUGUAUUUAUUAGAUAAAAAACCAAUGCCCUCCGGGGCUCCCUGGUGAUUCAUGAUAACUAAACGAAUCGCAUGGCCUUGCGCCGGCGAUGGUUCAUUCAAAUUUCUGCCCUAUCAACUUUCGAUGGUAGGAUAGUGGCCUACCAUGGUGGCAACGGGUAACGGGGAAUUAGGGUUCUAUUCCGGAGAGGGAGCCUGAGAAACGGCUACCACAUCCAAGGAAGGCAGCAGGCGCGCAAAUUACCCAAUCCCGACACGGGGAGGUAGUGACAAUAAAUACUGAUGUGGAGCUCUUUAGGGUUUCACAAUUGGAAUGAGAAAAAUCUAAACCACUUAAACGAGGAACAAUUGGAGGGCAAGUCUGGUGCCAGCAGCCGCGGUAAUUCCAGCUCCAAUAGCGUAUAUUAAAGUUGUUGCAGUUAAAAAGCUCGUAGUUGAACCUUGGGCCUGGCCGGCCGGUCCGCCUCACCGCGUGCACUGGUUCGGCCGGACCUUUCCUCCUGGGGAACCGCAUGCCCUUCACUGGGUGUGCCGGGGAAUCAGGACUUUUACUUUGAAAAAAUUAGAGUGUUCAAAGCAGGCAUUUGCUCGAAUACAUUAGCAUGGAAUAAUAGAAUAGGACGUUGUGGUUCUAUUUUGUUGGUUUCUAGGACCGCCGUAAUGAUAAUUAGGGACG